UACGAAGGGGGCUAGCGUUGCUCGGAAUUACUGGGCGUAAAGGGCGCGUAGGCGGCCAACUUAGUCAGAGGUGAAAGCCCAGGGCUCAACCUUGGAAUUGCCUUUGAUACUGGUUGUCUUGAGUUCGGGAGAGGUGAGUGGAAUGCCGAGUGUAGAGGUGAAAUUCGUAGAUAUUCGGCAGAACACCAGUGGCGAAGGCGGCUCACUGGCCCGUUACCGACGCUCAGGCGCGACAGCGUGGGGAGCAAACAGG
rnacentral:rRNA from 1 species